rnacentral:misc_RNA from 1 species
UUUAGGUUCCUUUUCCACAGUUUAUCUAGUGAAAGAUGUUCUUCAAAAUAAAGAAUACGCAGCGAAGACGUGUAACAAAAGUUUUAUUCUAAGAGAGAAAAAGAGUUCUGCUGUUAUGAGGGAGAAGGAGAUAUUAGUUCUUGUUAAGGAUAAAUGGAAUCCUCGUGCACCUUUCUUUGUCAAGCUCAUCACGUCAUUCCAGGAUGAGGAGAGUUUAUAUUUUAUUUUAACCUAUGCUGAACGUGGCGAUUUCUUUACAUUCCUCAAAAGAGCUUUUAAAAAAGGAAUCAAUGUAUCUCGGUUCUACUCUGGAGAAUUAAUUCAAGCUCUGGAACAUCUUCAUAAUAUAGGAAUCGUUCAUCGUGAUUUAAAACCUGAAAACCUUCUUCUAACCAGGGAUAUGCAUAUUCUACUCACAGACUUCGGUAGUGGGAUGAUUCUUCGGAAAGAGGAGGUUGAUAGAGUAGAGGAGGAGAUAACAGUAAAUAGAAGAUCUAGUUUUGUCGGAACUGCACAGUAUGUUAGUCCAGAGAUGCUUACAAGCAAAGGUUGCAGCCCAGCCUCUGAUCUAUGGGCUGCAGGGUGUAUAAUUUACCAGAUGGAAUCUGGAUCUCCUCCUUUCCAAUCAGGGUCCGAGUAUCUAAUAUUCCAGAAGAUUUUAAAACUAGAAUACAGCUUUCCCGAUCAAUUUAACUCAGAGGGCGCUGAUUUGGUAAAGCGGUUACUAACCCUAGAACCAGAGAAGAGAUUAGGGUUUACGGAUAUCUGUGAUCAUGUUUGCUACAAAUCGAUAAAAUCUCAUCCUUACUUCAGGGAUUUAGAUUUUGAGAACUUAUACAGAACUCCUUCUCCCCACCUGGAUCUGUACUCAGACAUGUACAUGGAGCAGGAUCCGGUCUGGGAUAAGUAUCCUGAUAUGACUCCGGGGUUGGGAAAAUCUAACACGGACAGAUUGUUCCGUGAAACCUUGGACGAGCCUGGACUCACAUCUGAGGAGGAGGAGGAGGAGGGAGAGCAGGAUCUUAGUAAUCCUUGUUAUAGUCUUACAUCACAGACUUCAUGUAUACCAGAGUCAGGAGAUAUGAACGAUCUGACCUCCGAGGAUAGAAAUAAACUGCUGGAGGAACAGAAGAAAAAUAAUGAAUAUCACAGAUUUGUAGAGAACAACCUCAUACUUAAACAAGGAUUGCUUGAUAAGAAGAAAGGACUAUGGUCCCGAAGACGAAUGUUUCUUCUGACUGAAGGUCCUCGCCUCUUCUAUGUAGAUCCGAAGGAGAAAAUUCUCAAGGGCGAGAUACCACUGAGUGCUAAAACAGAGACAGAGAUGAGAGAUUUUAAAACAUUCUUCGUGAUAACCCCUGACAGACGUUAUCAUCUAACUGAUCCUCAGAGUUUCGGAUCCCAGUGGUGUAAAGCAAUCGACGGGGUUGCAGCUUACUACUUCAAGAAAACAGUGGAAUAAGUCCAUUCUUUUGCAUCAACGAAGAUUCAAAGUAUCCUUGAGACUUAAAGGGACUGUAAGCGAUAUCCCAACGUUUCGACGCAACGUUUAUAUUCAGUGAUCAACCAUGUUACCCUUUAAACAUUUAUCUCAGAAAGUUUAAGAUUUCCUUGUGUUUGUUGCCUCGAGAUUCAUAUCCUUGCGCUUUGGUGUCAUCUAAAACGACGUCAGGAUUUACACGGCAUAAAUACUUAGCCACCAUUUUUAAUCUUAUGCUGAUUUAAUCAUGGGAAAUACUUCAUUUUUAUUUGAAAUCAAACUCUUUUUUUUUUUAGAAGUUAUGUUACCAAUUAGUUAGAACCUGAG